AGAAUCAGAGCAAAUGCUUGUUAUUAGACAUGAGCACUGAAGGCUCCAAGGACUACUGCGGCCACCGUUUCUCCACAUGUGGAAAGAGUGAAGUGCUGGUACUGUGCUGUGUGACUUUAGGUGCUACCAAGCAGAGUAUUAAACACAGAACUGCAGCACGUCCAAGUUCUCCCCUUUUCAGUACGUUCAAUCCUGAUUACCCACAGGAGAAACUUGCAGUUUAGUGCUUGCAUUCUUCAACACCUCACUAAAACUCAACAGUUUCCCUUUUUAACAAAGAGAUCAAGGUUUUGCCCACUAGAAUUGAAAACAAUAUUUUAAUUUUCAUCUCUUUAUGUGGUUUCUUACUUUCUAUUUACGCCAGGUGAUAGUGGUUUUCCAUUAAAGUAAUGACAUACAGAUUUUAAAAGUAAAUAUAAGUAAAUCAACUAAAAAAAUCAAUUUAAGAAGCACUUUAAAAAAAAUGCAGGUGGUACUCGGACGUGACUAAUAUUAUUCAUUUCAUAGGCAAGGAAAUGGAGAAUCAGGCAGGAAUCCCCAAACCCCAGAGUGGUAUAAGCUGACAUUUAGGAAGAACACAGACGGCUGUCUCCCCUGAAAGCCAAACAGAUACUCAUGGGCCAGGGAUCCAGUUUUGUUGUGAGGAGUGCUAUAGGCUGGACACUUUGGAAAAAUCCCGAGUGCACUUUGUGGACACUGCUGGCCUGAAAUAGUGGGGCACACUGGCCUGAGAGCUCCCUGGCUCCCAGUGCCUAAGGUCCUUUACCCCAUACUCCCUCAAGGUCCAUCCCUAUACCCUCCAGCCCACAGCAUGUGACCAAGCAUGUGCCCCUUAACCUGGAGCUGGAACCCUUCCUUUCACAGAUACCUGGAAAUUGAGCCAGAUCUGCAUCCGAGGGACACUAGAAGGGAUGGGGAGGAGCGCUUACCCCUGAACUCUGUUUUGUCUCAUGUUUGGAGGCCCAAGGUCAUUUGGUUCUUCAGAUUUCCAGCAAACUAUAGCUCUCACUCCCUUCCCGCAUGCCCUCACCCCACGGCUUUUACACUUAAGAGGAAUGGCCCUGCCUUCUCUGGGCCCACAGCUCCUGUGGCUUGAGGUUCCAGCCGUCUUGUUAACAAUUUUUCUCCCUGCGAUGUAGGAAUGAUGGCUGUGUUAACAGGUCGGGGGGCGGUUGGGGAGACACUAACAAGAUGAUAAACCUUGGUAUUUGGCUCUGCUGCUGACUUUGAGCGAGUCCUUUUUUACCUCUCAGAGCCUUAUUUUUCUCAUCUGUAAAGUGGGGAGUCCUGCUCCCCUCCCCUGAGGUUGUUCUAAUGAGGCCGUGCUCAUAGUAGGUAAAUAAUGUACACACACAACAUGGGCAUGCACAGCGAUGGGUGCAGGUUGCAAUUGGGACUUCCCUCUGUUCCCUCCAUCACAAUUGAUGAGGGACUUUGGGGCUGAUCUUGACUUCUCCAGGAUCCUGGUCUCCCAGUAGGUUGCUAGUGAUGCUCAAAAGGUAGGGGUCUCUCCCCAGGACACUGCCAGCCUGCCCUUCUGGGAGGAAGGAGACAGAAAGGGUUACUUUGGCAAUCACGAGGCUUAAGGAUGCCCCAAUGCUUCACCCUGUCCCAAACCGACCCCCUACUCCCACCCCCAAGUCUAAAGUGGGUCCCUCUACAAUAAUCUCUCAUCACGCCAUUCAUUCUUCCUUUGUGGCACUUAUUAUAAGUGCUAAUUAUUUAUCAAUAUUUGUUUUUUUAAACAAAACUUUAUUAUGAAAAGUUUCCAACAUUUACCAGAAAAACCCAAAACAGAACAGUAUCACAGACUCCAUAUACCUAUCACCCAGCUUCAACAAUGAUCAACUCGAGGUCAAUCUUGUUUUAUCUCUACCCCUACUCACUCCUGCCUCCUAGUAUUAAUUUGAGGCAACACAUUUGUAAAUGUUUUGGUAGGUAUUGCUAAAAAUAAGGGCUCUUGUAUAAAACAUAACCACAAAUACAUGUCAUUAUACAUUUAUCCAAACCCACAGAAUGUACAACACCAAGAGUGAACCCUAAUGUGAGCUAUGGACUUGGGGUGAUGAUGGUGUGUCAGUGCAGGCUCACUACUGUAUCAAAUGCUCUGCUCUGCUGGGGGAUGUUGAUACUGUGGCAGGCUGUGCACAACGUGGGGGCAGUCUCUGUACCAUCUUCUCAAUUUUCCUGUGAACUUAAAACUACUCUAAAAAAGUUAAGUCUUAAAAAAUAAAAUCAAAAGAGCAAAGCUCC
rnacentral:lncRNA from 10 species